rnacentral:tRNA from 1 species
GGUUUUAUAGUUUAUUAAAAAUACCAAGUUGCAGCCUUGGAGAAAAGGAGUACUUUAGAACCU